GAUCCUAGCUCAGGAUGAACGCUAGCUACAGGCUUAACACAUGCAAGUCGAGGGGAAACGACAUCGAAAGCUUGCUUUUGAUGGGCGUCGACCGGCGCACGGGUGAGUAACGCGUAUCCAACCCGCCCACCACUUGGGGAUAACCUUGCGAAAGUAAGACUAAUACCCAAUGAUAUCUCUAGAAGACAUCUGAAAGGGAUUAAAGAUUUAUCGGUGAUGGAUGGGGAUGCGUCUGAUUAG
rnacentral:rRNA from 1 species